CAACCACCCGACCAUAGAGCAAACAACAGCCGAAGGCAACCAAUGGGUCUUCAAUGUAGCGAGAAUUCCCGCACCCGUAGGUGUCCUUCAGUUGGCCCCUAAAAUAUGCAUAAUAGUACAGUGAUAAUGGACGUCAUACUAAACUCCGAAUUAUACACAAGAAACUAAAAUUUAAAAUCAUACAAGACUAACAAAGGCCAGAGGCUCCUGACUUGGGACAGGCGCAAAAUUGCGGCGGG
rnacentral:lncRNA from 1 species